GAUGAACGCUGGCGGCGUGCCUAACACAUGCAAGUCGAACGAAGCACCUUACCUGAUUCUUCGGAUGAAAGUUUGGUGACUGAGUGGCGGACGGGUGAGUAACGCGUGGGUAACCUGCCCUGUACAGGGGGAUAACAGCUGGAAACGGCUGCUAAUACCGCAUAAGCGCACGAGGAGACAUCUCCUUGUGUGAAAAACUCCGGUGGUACAGGAUGGGCCCGCGUCUGAUUAGCUGGUUGGCAGGGUAACGGCCUACCAAGGCAACGAUCAGUAGCCGGUCUGAGAGGAUGAACGGCCAGAGUGGAAGUGAGACACGGUCCAAACUCCCACGGGAGGCAGCAGUGGGGAAGAUUGCACAAUGGGGGAAACCCGGAGGAAGCAACGCCGCGUGAGUGAAGAAGUAUUGCGGUAUGUAAAGCUCGAUCAGCAGGGAAGAUAAUGACGGUACCUGACUAAGAAGCCCCGGCUAAAUACGUG
rnacentral:rRNA from 1 species